AAAUACAUUUGGUCACCAUAUUAAUGAAAUGAAAGCUACUGUCUUCACUUUUGAAGCUGGUAAGGGUAUGAUAAUACAUUAGCAAAUUUGGUAAUUGGUGGAGCUACUUUUUUGGGUAUAUUUCUUUUAUUGACUUAGAGGUUUAAGGAGGUAUAUUUUGCAAAACUUACUGGAGAACUAUGAGGUUAUUUUCCUUCUUUAUUAAGCAAAGCCAGCUGCUACAUAUAUACCCUUUGGGAAUUAUUUUGAUAUGUUAUGGAAAAUAGAAAGCUAAGUCUUAUACAGUAGAGCAUGUAACUUUGUAGAAAAUCUGUAGUUGUCUUGUAGUUGUUUAUUAAAGAUGUUUUGAGCCUCUUUUUAAUUCAAGGAUGUCUUUAGGAUCUAGUUUCUGAAAAAAAUCUCCAGUUACCAUCAAAAUGUAAUUAGGCCUUUGGAAUAUUCUACCCUAUGUUUUCACUGUCAAGGAAAUGACAUUACGUUAGCCCUAUUUAAUUUUCCAGCUAUCUUAAUAGAAUGUGUUGAGUAAGCAUUGAGGAUUAUUAUUAUUAUUAUCACCGUCAUCGUCAUCAUCAUUAAUUGUGUUAAAAGGCAACCUCCGGAGGCACAAGCGACCUGCUGGCAGGGAUUAUCCACUUUGGAGUGUGCACUGGAUCAGUUUUGCUCUCAGCAGUAGGCAGCAUUAUAAUCAAUAGAAAUUGCCCAUAUGGGGUUUAAAAGACACUGUGAUAAUCAAGUUCACCAGAAAGACACGGAAAGUUUUGGAGCUUAUUGUAAACCACUACUUUGUGAACUUUCUGCAAUUGACUGCAAUGUCUAAAUCAGAAGACAUAGCAGUUUUUUUACACGCUCAGCAAAAAUUGCUAACUGGUUUGGUGUGUGUUGUUUAAAUAAACAUUCACUGAGAGUUUCUUGCAUUCUACUGAGUAAAUAUUAAACUGCACUUUUCUGUUUUUGCUAAUGGUCAUCAUCAUUAAAAAGUUCUUUUUAAAAAAAUUCCCACAUGUUCCUGGUUCAGGUAAACACUCUUUGCCCUGUAGGAAGUUGUGGCUUAAAACAUUAAUACUUUACCAAUUUAUGUUUUGAUAAAACUUUUGGAUUAAAAUAUCCAAAAGCCUUCGACUUGUCCUUUACAUAAAUAAAUGUGGGCAGGGGAGAUUGGGAUUUGCAGAAAACUCAAAGCCCCUUUCCAGAAAGUAGGGGUGGAUGUAAGAGCUAUCUGGCUGCGACAUCUCUCACCCCAUUGAUCACCAGGGUGCCUUUGGCUGAUUUGGCUGGCUAGGCAGGUGUCUGCUUCCUCC
rnacentral:lncRNA from 10 species